rnacentral:lncRNA from 1 species
UUGAAAGUUAAAAUCAAAUUUAAGUUUCCAAAUUUUUUAUAUAGGCUUGUUUUUGAUGAGAAAUAGUUUAGAUAUUUUUUUUUUUUGAAUUACCCAUUCCCUUUUUGUUCCUGUUCUUUCUCUCUAAGAUAAUAUCAUAUUUUUUUAUAUAUAAAUGAAAUAAUUUACAUUUUUAAAAAUAACCCAACAUUAUAUAGCUUGUAUUUAACUAAUUAAAUUACUCGUUCUCUU